ensembl:lncRNA
GACAGAAUGUUAAAAUUAGGUGAAAAAUAUUUUUGGACCAAGUAAGACUUUUAAAAACCGGUGGAAUGAAACAUUCCAAAUAUCUCUAACGGUCGCCCCAGCGUGAGUUGUUUAAGCACGUGAUGUCAGAAUGCUCUCACUGUUCCAAAAUGUGAUUAUUACGCAACGGGAGAGUUAACACGCGCUGACUGCUAAUUAUCUAUAGGGUGUAAUAAUUAGUCCAACAUUUGCGAACAACUUCAGGUAUGUUCAUCCCCAAUUUGUUCCGUUUGCUUCUGUUCAAGAAACAUUUUAACAGAAUUGGCAGAACGAACACAUCCCUGAUCACGCUAGACCCAAUUCACUUUCAUAGUAGCCACAAUGUAUUCCUUGUCGCAUCUAUGCACCGUUACUUUAUCUUUUUCGUUUUUUUAAAUUGCCAGCGUCUUGAAGCUAAAAUUGGGAUCAUGUUUACUGUGCUAAUGACCAUUCCAACAGUAAAGGAGAGCAAUGUAGAAUACAGUGAACUCAGCAAAAGGAGUAAUUUGUGUUCCACUCUGCCCCAGUGUUUUCCUGCAGUCAACCAGACCCAGCAGUAAAGCAGUACCGGGAGACAUUUGACCUGGGGACUCCGGGAGGGCAGAGGGGAACGGGCUAGCUUUGUCCUCUUGGCGGCAAGAAAUAUAAAACAUAUUUGGUUUAAUGAUAAACUAUUGUAUUAAUUUAGUCUAUUUGGGAAUCCCUAGAAUAUCUCCUUUUUCCUCAAAUGUUCAAUUGUUCACUACUUCCCAAAAAUCUAAUAGCAUUGGGUUGGCGGAGGCAUGGGCUAGUUAGUUUCCACCAUUUUCAUUAUACCAGUAAUUUCCUUUCAAAACAGAGGAAGAGGCGACUUGUGACUUAAUUGAUUGAAUAUAUUUUUCGUAAUUAUUAGGUUGCCACCAACUUUGAGAAAAAAUCAUGAACCACACAUAUUUCACGGCCGGAUGAAAAAAAACGUACCCGAUUUAAACUGGUUACUACUCUUGCCCAGAAACGACAAUAUGCAUAGUAUUAGUAGAUUUGAGUAGAAAACACUCUAAAGUUUCUAAAAGUGUUUGAAUGGUGUCUGUGAGUAUAACAGAACUCAUAUGGCAGGCAAAAACCUGAGAAGAUUCCAAGCAGGAAGUGGCCUGUCUGCGAAUUUGUAGUCCUUCUUUUGCUUCUCUAUCGAAACUACAGUAUCUGAGCUGUUACGUAGCACUUUCUAAGGCUUCCAUUGGCUCUCUAAAGCCUUCAGAAUGCGGAUUGAGGCGUCUCCUGUCUCUGGGCAGAGUAUGGUAGCUCAGUUUGUCAGUGGUCUGCCUGGUGACUAAGAGAUUGGAGAUGCGCGUUCACGAGACCAUGCUGUUUUUUCUUUCGUCUUGGAAUGAAUACACUAUUGUCCGGUUGGAAUAUUAUCGCUAUUUUACGAGAUAAAAUACCAUAAAAAUGUAUUUUAAACAGCGUUUGACAUGCUUCUAAGUACGGUAAAGGAACAUUUUGAAUUUUUUUGUCUCGAUAUGCACUCGCGCGUUACCCUUUGGAUAGUGACCUGAACGCACAAACAAAACGGAGGUAUUUGGACAUAAAUAUGGAUUAUUUGGAACAAAAACAACAUUUCUUGUGGAAGUAGCAGUCCUGGGAGUGCAUUCUGACGAAGAUCAGCAAAGGUUAUACCAUUUUUCUAAUAGUAAUUCUGAGUUUAGUGUGCCCCGAAGUUGGCGGGUGUCAAAAUAGCUAGCCGUGAUGGCUAAGCUAUGUACUCAGAAUAUUGCAAAAUGUGCAUUCGCCGAAAAGCUAUUUCAAAAUCUGACAUAGCGAUUGCAUAAAGGAGUUCUGUAUCUAUAAUUCUUAAAAUAAUUGUUAUGUAUUUUGUCAACAUUUAUGAUGAGUAAUUUAGUAAAUUCACUGGAAGUUUUGGGUGGG